UAGGGAAUCUUCCGCAAUGGGCGAAAGCCUGACGGAGCAACGCCGCGUGAGUGAUGAAGGUCUUCGGAUCGUAAAACUCUGUUAUUAGGGAAGAACAAAUGUGUAAGUAACUAUGCACGUCUUGACGGUACCUAAUCAGAAAGCCACGGCUAACUACGUGCCAGCAGCCGCGGUAAUACGUAGGUGGCAAGCGUUAUCCGGAAUUAUUGGGCGUAAAGCGCGCGUAGGCGGUUUUUUAAGUCUGAUGUGAAAGCCAACGGCUCAACCGUGGAGGGUCAUUGGAAACUGGAAAACUUGAGUGCAGAAGAGGAAAGUGGAAUUCCAAGUGUAGCGGUGAAAUGCGCAGAGAUAUGGAGGAAAACCAGUGGCGAAGGCGACUUUCUGGUCUGUAACUGACGCUGAUGUGCGAAAGCGUGGGGAUCAAACAGG
rnacentral:rRNA from 1 species